rnacentral:rRNA from 1 species
CAAUAGCGUAUAUUAAAGUUGUUGCAGUUAAAAAGCUCGUAGUUGAAUUUUUGCUUGCCGCCGAUGUCGGAACUUCCGUACGUUCGGCGGCGUGCAUCCUUGGGUGGAACCUGUGUGGCAUUAGGUUGUCGUGCAGGGGAUGCUCAUCGUUUACUGUGAAAAAAUUAGAGUGUUCAAAGCAGGCUUACGCCGUUGAAUAUAUUAGCAUGGAAUAAUAAGAUAGGACCUUGGUACUAUUUUGUUGGUUUGCGCACCGAGGUAAUGAUUAACAGGGACAGUUGGGGGUAUUCGUAUUCCAUUGUCAGAGGUGAAAUUCUUGGAUUUCUGGAAGACGAACUACUGCGAAGGCAUUUACCAAGGAUGUUUUCAUUAA